AGGGAUAUAGCUCAGUGCGAGAGCAGUCAACUGCAGAUCGAUAGAUCUCCGAUUCAAUCACGGGUGCCCCCU
rnacentral:tRNA from 1 species